rnacentral:rRNA from 1 species
UACGAAGGGGGCUAGCGUUGCUCGGAAUUACUGGGCGUAAAGCGUGCGCAGGCGGCUUUCCAAGUCAGUGGCGAAAGCCCGGAGCUCAACUCCGGAAAUGCCAUUGAAACUGUGAAGCUCGAGAACGAGAGAGGUGAGUGGAAUUCCCAGUGUAGAGGUGAAAUUCGUAGAUAUUGGGAAGAACACCAGUGGCGAAGGCGGCUCACUGGCUCGUAACUGACGCUCAUGCACGACAGCGUGGGGAUCAAACAGG